rnacentral:rRNA from 1 species
GGGGAUUAGUGGCGAACGGGUGAGUAACACGUGGGCAAUCUGCCCUGCACUCUGGGAUAAGCCCUGGAAACGGGGUCUAAUACCGGAUAAUACUCCUGCACUCAUGUGUGGGGGUUAAAAGCUCCGGCGGUGCAGGAUGAGCCCGCGGCCUAUCAGCUUGUUGGUGAGGUAAUGGCUCACCAAGGCGACGACGGGUAGCCGGCCUGAGAGGGCGACCGGCCACACUGGGACUGAGACACGGCCCAGACUCCUACGGGAGGCAGCAGUGGGGAAUAUUGCACAAUGGGCGAAAGCCUGAUGCAGCGACGCCGCGUGAGGGAUGACGGCC